UGAAAGUGAUAGAAGGCUAUCCGUGUCUGCUUGUAACGACCUGUUAUAUGCUAUUUAAGGAGUUUUCUGCUAUUCGAAUUUCAUUCAAAGAAACAGCUCACCUGCCUCGACUACAUCUGAUAUACGUAGUUUCUGGAACAGAUCUCUGUCCUUUAAGAUGAAGCUUUUAAUGCAACUUUUUCAAUUAAGUGCUACUUGUCUCUUACUUUCUUUUCUGAUGAUUUCUAACCUUUCAUUCAAAAACGGAGGAGCGAUUGCUGGACAUCAUGGAGGCGGUGGCGGUGGUGGAGGAUUGGAAACUUUGCUCGCUGCUGGAAUCCUUGCCAAACUGCUGGACAAGAAACAUCACCACCAUGGCCAUCAUUCUCAUCCAAUCCCGAUCCCUAUUCCUAUUCACCACGGAGGAGGACAUCCCCACGAAGUAGUAGUUCAUGGCCAU